rnacentral:rRNA from 1 species
UACCUGCAAGUCGAGCGGACAGAAGGGAGCUGCUUCCGGAUGUAGCGGCGGACGGGUGAGUAACACGUGGGUAACUGCCUGUAAGACUGGGAUAACUCCGGGAAACCGGAGCUAAUACCGGAUAGUUCCCUGAACCGCAUGGUUCAAGGAUGAAAGACGGUUUCGGCUGUCACUUACAGAUGGACCGCGGCGCAUAGCUAGUUGGUGAGGUAACGGCUCACCAAGGCGACGAUGCGUAGCCGACCUGAGAGGGUGAUCGGCCACACUGGGACUGAGACACGGCCCAGACUCCUACGGGAGGCAGCAGUAGGGAAUCUUCCGCAAUGGACGAAAGUCUGACGGAGCAACGCCGCGUGAGUGAUGAAGGUUUUCGGAUCGUAAAGCUCUGUUGUUAGGGAAGAACAAGUGCAAGAGUAACUGCUUGCACCUUGACGGUACCUAACCAGAAAGCCACGGCUAACUACGUGCCAGCAGCCGCGGUAAUACGUAGGUGGCAAGCGUUGUCCGGAAUUAUUGGGCGUAAAGGGCUCGCAGGCGGUUUCUUAAGUCUGAUGUGAAAGCCCCCGGCUCAACCGGGGAGGGUCAUUGGAAACUGGGAAACUUGAGUGCAGAAGAGGAGAGUGGAAUUCCACGUGUAGCGGUGAAAUGCGUAGAGAUGUGGAGGAACACCAGUGGCGAAGGCGACUCUCUGGUCUGUAACUGACGCUGAGGAGCGAAAGCGUGGGGAGCGAACAGGAUUAGAUACCCUGGUAGUCCACGCCGUAAACGAUGAGUGCUAAGUGUUAGGGGGUUUCCGCCCCUUAGUGCUGCAGCUAACGCAUUAAGCACUCCGCCUGGGGAGUACGGUCGCAAGACUGAAACUCAAAGGAAUUGACGGGGGCCCGCACAAGCGGUGGAGCAUGUGGUUUAAUUCGAAGCAACGCGAAGAACCUUACCAGGUCUUGACAUCCUCUGACAACCCUAGAGAUAGGGCUUUCCCUUCGGGGACAGAGUGACAGGUGG